rnacentral:rRNA from 1 species
GACGAACGCUGGCGGCGUGCUUAACACAUGCAAGUCGAACGGAAAGGCCCUGCUUUUGUGGGGUGCUCGAGUGGCGAACGGGUGAGUAACACGUGAGUAACCUGCCCUUGACUUUGGGAUAACUUCAGGAAACUGGGGCUAAUACCGGAUAGGAGCUCCUGCUGCAUGGUGGGGGUUGGAAAGUUUCGGCGGUUGGGGAUGGACUCGCGGCUUAUCAGCUUGUUGGUGGGGUAGUGGCUUACCAAGGCUUUGACGGGUAGCCGGCCUGAGAGGGUGACCGGCACAAUGGGGCUGGGAUACGGGCCAAGCUCCCACGGGGAGGCAGCAGUGGGGAAUAUUGCACAAUGGGCGGAAGCCUGAUGCAGCAACGCCGCGUGCGGGAUGACGGCCUUCGGGUUGUAAACCGCUUUCGCCUGUGACGAAGCGUGAGUGACGGUAAUGGGUAAAGAAGCACCGGCUAACUACGUG